rnacentral:rRNA from 1 species
AACGAACGCUGGCGGCAGGCUUAACACAUGCAAGUCGAGCGCCCCGCAAGGGGAGCGGCAGACGGGUGAGUAACGCGUGGGAAUCUACCCAUCUCUACGGAAUAACGCAUGGAAACGUGUGCUAAUACCGUAUACGUCCUUCGGGAGAAAGAUUUAUCGGAGAUGGAUGAGCCCGCGUUGGAUUAGCUAGUUGGUGGGGUAAAGGCCUACCAAGGCGACGAUCCAUAGCUGGUCUGAGAGGAUGUUCAGCCACACUGGGACUGGGACACGGCCCAGACUCCUACGGGAUGCAGCAGUGGGGAAUAUUGGACAAUGGGCGCAAGCCUGAUCCAGCCAUGCCGCGUGAGUGAUGAAGGCCCUAGGGUUGUAAAGCUCUUUCACCGGUGAAGAUAAUGACGGUAACCGGAGAAGAAGCCCCGGCUAACUUCGUGCCAGCCGCCGCUGUAACAC